GGGGAUGUGGCUCAACUGGUCGAGCACGUGCCUUGCCUGCACAAGGCCCUGGGUUCGAUCCCCAGCACCACCA
rnacentral:tRNA from 1 species